rnacentral:rRNA from 1 species
CUGAAAUUUUUGAAGGGCCGCGGUAUUUUGACUGUGCAAAGGUAGCAUAAUCAUUAGUCUUUUAAUUGGAGGCUUGUAUGAAUGGUUGGAUGAGGUAUUAACUGUCUCAAUUUAAUAAAUAAUAGAAUUUUAUUUUUAAGUUAAAAAGCUUAAAUAUUAUUAAAAGACGAGAAGACCCUAUAGAUCUUUAUAAUUAGAUUUAUAAUAAUUUUUUGGAUUAAAUUUAUUUUUAUAGAAAUAAUUAUUAUAUUGGGGUGAUAAAAAAAUUUGUUAAACUUUUUUUUAAUAUAAACAAUAAUAUUUGAUUAGUUGAUCCAUUUUUUGUGAUUAUAAGAUUAAGUUACCUUAGGGAUAACAGCGUAAUUUUUUUGGAGAGUUCUUAUCGAUAAAAAAGAUUGCGACCUCGAUGUUGAAUUAAAGGUUAAUUUUAGGUGUAGAAGUUU